rnacentral:sRNA from 1 species
CCUGAAAUCUCGUUUGGUCGGGGUCCGUGCUUCU